rnacentral:pre_miRNA from 1 species
AGGAGGAACAACCCCAGUGGCGUGGCCAGCUCUGAGCCCUGGAUUCAUCUCCCACAGGAACUACAGAGCUCUCCAUCUGCAGGGCCUGGAGGCUCCGGGGCGGG